CCCUUAGAUGUUCUGGGCCGCACGCGCGCUACACUGACGAAUGCAACGAGCUUAUAACCUUGGCCGAAAGGUCUGGGUAAUCUCCAAAUUUCGUCGUGAUGGGGAUAGAUUAUUGCAAUUAUUAAUCUUCAACGAGGAAUGCCUAGCAAGCGCAAGUCAUCAGCUUGCGUUGAUUACGUCCCUGCCCUUUGUACACACCGCCCGUCGCUCCUACCGAUUGAAUGGUCCGGUGAAGCGUUCGGACCGUGGCCUUUGGACGGUUCGCCGUCUGUUGGCUGCGGGAAGUUCGUUAAACCUUAUCAUUUAGAGGAAGGAGAAGUCGUAACA
rnacentral:rRNA from 1 species